UAAAUAAUUUGUAAAUUGAAUUUUUUGUGUUUUUUGGUUUAUAUGCCUUUUGCAUCAUGCUUUAUGGAUUCUUUUAAUAUAUUAUUUUUAAUCGAAAAACUUAGAUUUUACUAUUAAUUAAUUUGAUUAUGUUAUAAAUUGGGUAAAUUUAUUUAAAUUAAUAGUACGGUGUGAUAAGUUAGUCGGUAAGUUUUAUAACUAUUAUGCUGUUUUUUACUUAGAUUUACGUGUUUGGUUAUGAUAUCAUACAUGAUGCUAUAUUUUAUAUUAUUAUAAUUUGAAAAAUAAGGUUAAAAGUACCUAGUUUUUAUGAAAUUGUUACAAAUCUGUUAUAUUUUAUAUAAAAUUAGAUUUGUAAACAGCUUGUAUGUAAACUUUUGGUGAAGAUAUAUCAUGAAAUUAGUAAUAUCAAUAUGUUUAAUUAUUUCUCGAAUUUUGCCCGUCUGUUUAUUAAAAACAUUUCUAAUUUUAAUAGUAGUUAGUAGUGCCUGCCCAAUGUUAUUAAUGAAUGGCCGCAGUAUAUUGACUGUGCAAAGGUAGCAUAAUUAAUUGCCUUAUAAUUGAAGGCUUGUUUGAAAGGUUUGACGUGGUAACAAUUAAUAUUUAACAUUUUGUUGAAAUUUGAUUUGAUGGUACAGAUCCCUCUUAUAUUAAUAAGACGGAAAGACCCCGGGAUCUUUUAUUUUUGCUUGGGGCAAGUGUUUAUAUUUUAUUAAUAUUAUGACCCUUUUGUUUAGUAUAGUGAGUUAAGUUACCCCGGGGAUAACAGUGUAAUAGUUAAAGAGAGGUCUUAUCGAAUUAACUGUUUGCCACCUCGAUGUUGACUUAGAUGUUUGUUUAGGUGUAGUAGCUUAAAUUUUUGGUCUGUUCGACCUUUUUAAUCUCCAUGAGUUGAGUUAAGACCGGUGUAAGCCAGGUCGGUUCUUAUCUAUUUUUUAGAUUUACUAGUACGAAAGGACCGUAAGUCUUUUUAUU
rnacentral:rRNA from 1 species